rnacentral:rRNA from 1 species
UAGGGAAUAUUGCACAAUGGGGGAAACCCUGAUGCAGCCAUGCCGCGUGUGUGAAGAAGGCCUUCGGGUUGUAAAGCACUUUCAGUGGGGAGGAAAGCGAAAGCGUGACGUUACCCACAGAAGAAGCACCGGCUAACUCCGUGCCAGCAGCCGCGGUAAUACGGAGGGUGCAAGCGUUAAUCGGAAUAACUGGGCGUAAAGGGCAUGUAGGCGGAUAGAUAAGUAAGGUGUGAAAGCCCUGGGCUCAACCUAGGAACUGCACUUUAAACUGUCUAUCUAGAGUAUUGCAGAGGGAGAUGGAAUUCCAGGUGUAGCGGUGAAAUGCGUAGAUAUCUGGAAGAACAUCAGAGGCGAAGGCGGUCUCCUGGGCAAAUACUGACGCUGAGGUGCGAAAGCGUGGGGAGCAAACA